rnacentral:misc_RNA from 1 species
AAAAAUACAGACUAUGCUUAACGCAUAGACUUUUGCUUGUCAAUAUUCCCGAGCGCGGGAAGGAGCGCCUUGCUCGCGUGUCUUUGCUUCUUUUUCUUUGCGCUUCGUUUCCGCCGAACCUCGAGACCUAACCUCGACCCUAACUCGGCUUAAAUCCCGCUGGGGAUUUAUUUUUAGAUUUAUAUCUUUAAUUAUACUUUGCUACAAAUCGAGUCACUGCCCUCG